CCUACGGGUGGCAGCAGUGGGGAAUAUUGCACAAUGGGGGAAACCCUGAUGCAGCAACGCCGCGUGAGUGAAGAAGUAUCUCGGUAUGUAAAGCCCCAUCAGCAGGGAAGCAGAUGACGGUACCUGAGUAAGAAGCCCCGGAUAACUACGUGCCAGCAGCCGCGGUAAUAAGUAGGGGGCAAGCGUUAUCCGGAUUUACUGGGUGUAAAGGGGGCGCAGUAGGUGAGACAAGUCUGACGUGAAAGCGCGGGGCUCAACCCCCGGACUGCGUUGGAAACUGCCUGACUGGAGUGCUGGAGAAGUAUGCGGAAUGCCUGGUGUAGCGGUGAAAUGCAUAGAUAUUAGGAAGAACACCAGUGGCGAAGGCGGCUUGCUGGA
rnacentral:rRNA from 1 species